rnacentral:lncRNA from 1 species
GUUUGUUAUAUUUUCCUGAUCUUGUCAAUGGCCAUCUUUACAUUUUAAGUUCUUGAUAUUCAUUUAGAAAUAUCUUCUUUUCAACAUGAUAAUUCAUAGCCUUGUAUUUGUCUUAAUUGAAAAGUGUCAGUUUUAAGACUUAUUCAAUUAACAGUUUGAUCUCAAGAGCAUCAACUUUCCCUUGUUUUCAUUAACAAAUUGUAUGGGGGGAGGGAUGAGAUAGAAAGAUUCCUAACUAUAUUUUAAUGUUCAUUUCAUAACCUGCAUUAGGGUUGUAGGAAACAGAGAGCUCAGAAGCAGCAUAGCAUCAUUUGGGUGAUUCAGUGUCUAUUUCAUGAUCUUACAUUAUCAAAUAUUUAACUCGUUAGGACUCAGUGAGGAAGGUUAGAUUUAAUGGCACAACUGGUCUCUUUUAGCAAAGGAUUUCCGGUAGGGAGCUUUCUUCUCUGCAAGUAUGUUCAUUGGCAGGAAACGGGUCAGUUGCUUGUUUUUACAAACUGAAGGAAAUGAAUUGGAUUUCUUGGUUUCCAGAAUUUACCUUCAUUCUCCAUUGUCUGUCAAAUAGUUUUAUCAGAACAUUUCAUUUCUAAAGGGACUUCUGGGAGUACAGUUAAUUCACUUUGAAUCUUUGGCAUUUCUGUAUUUCUUUUUGACUUUGGAAUUAGAACAAUUGAUCGCUAUAUAAAAAAAAAGAAAAAUUGAUUAUUAUACUACCAUGUACAACUUAUUUUACCAAUGCAUAUUAGCAAGAUGGUCAAUAAAAUUCCAGUUCAUUUUUAGUUGUCAGCUAGUUACUACUCCCUGAAGCUGGUGUUUUUAUUAUGGCUAUGCUAAAUUUUUAAGAAUUAUUCUAGAAUCCCAACUAAGUGCCAGUCUUUAGUUUGGAUUAAUGUGGAGAGGUAAAGGGAGGGAGGCAGCUUCAUUCUUUUCUUUGCCAAUAAGAAAAAUGUCUGUCAAAAAUACAUAACAGUUAUAUGCUAACCUUGCAGAUGGCAAGAGUCAAAGUUGGGUUAGAAUAGAC